CCUACGGGAGGCAGCAGUGGGGAAUAUUGGGCAAUGGGCGCAAGCCUGACCCAGCAACGCCGCGUGAAGGAAGAAGGCUUUCGGAUUGUAAACUCCUUUUGUUAGAGAAGAUAAUGACGGUAUCUAACGAAUAAGCACCGGCUAACUCCGUGCCAGCAGCCGCGGUAAUACGGGGGGUGCAAGCGUUACUCGGAAUCACUGGGCGUAAAGAGCGCGUAGGCGGAAUAUCAAGUCAGCGGUAAAAAUUCGGGGCUCAACCCCGUCGUGCCGUUGAAACUGAUGUUCUUGAGUGGGCGAGAAGUAUGCGGAAUGCGUGGUGUAGCGGUGAAAUGCAUAGAUAUCACGCAGAACUCCGAUUGCGAAGGCAGCAUACCGGCGCCCAACUGACGCUGAAGCACGAAAGCGUGGGUAUCGAACAGGAUUAGAUACCCGAGUAGUC
rnacentral:rRNA from 1 species